rnacentral:RNase_P_RNA from 1 species
GAUCGCAGCUGCAAUUUCGAAAGAAAGCAGGUGAGGAAAGUCCGGGCUUCACAGGGCAGGGUGCCAGAUAACGUCUGGUGGAGGCGACUCCAAGGCUAGUGCAACAGAAAUGAACCGCCAUAUUUUAUGGUAAGGGUGGAAGGGCAGUGUAAGAGACUACCGCCGUUGUGGUAACACAUCGGGCAUAUGUAAACCCCACUCGAAGCAAGACCGAACAUGGACAUACGGCGGCCCGUCGGUCCUAGGUAGGUCGCUGGAGACUGUUGGUGACGACAGUCCUAGAUAGAUGAUCAUUCACGACAUAACCCGGCUUAUCGUUUUGCUUUU